rnacentral:antisense_RNA from 1 species
ACUCACUCAGCUCCACCACGGGAAGGGAAGGAGCGCGAACGCUAAAUCCCGUGCCGCGGAGAGCCAAACCCCCUGGACCGGAAAUGCCUAAUCUGAACUUCCGCCCUGCCCUUCAGCUCACCAACCAAUUGAAUUCCAGGUUUCGUGGGUCCGCUCUAGGCGGCUGAUAGUACUCAAUGCUCCGGCAGUCCUGUUCCUUCCUGGUUACGUCCGUACAAGCCCUUGGCGGAAUCUGCGGGUGAGAGGGCGCAGGUGCAGAGGUGCCGCCGGCGGCGUGCGGCUGCGAAGGAAGGGACCUCAACACCCAGCGUUCCUGCGGACGCUCCUCAGCCGGGGGUUGUUCUACGUGCUCUGGACCCCGCCCUUCCUGACCUAGGAUGUCUCGCCGCGCACUGUCCUCCUCUCUCGGGCGACUUUUCCCCCACCUCUAAGUAGUGACCAAGCUCAGAAUCCAGCUCGCGCCUGCUGUGCACCUAGCACUUCCCACCUGUAGUCUUUUGACCUCAUCGCCACCUCGAGAAGGCUGCUGGCAUCGCUUAAAUGAGGAAGCCGAGGCGCAGAGAGGUUUCAGACCUAUUCCGGUGGAGCUGGAAUUCGAGAACAAACCGCUCGGUGCUGAGACGCGCGUGCUGAACGGGCGGCGGGCGGGGGUGAAACGGAGUGAGGGGAGAGGCCAGAUGCGACCCGGGAAGGUGAGGAGCACGGGCCCGGAGGGAGGACUUACGAGAAUGGAAAGGAAAGCAGUCUGUCUUCAGUGGGACAGUGGGAGCAUUAAGAUGUCAGAGAAUGAGCAGUUGUGGGAAGAGCCAUAGAGUAUCUUUUAGAGACAGGGUUUUGCUCUGUCGUCCAGGCUGCAACCUCGACCUCCCGGGCUCAAGCGAUCCUCCUGCCUCAGCCUCCUGAGUAACCGGGACUACAAGCAAAGCGCCACCACACUAAAUCUUCUUUAAUUUUUUGGGGGGGAGGUUGAAGGUGGGGACGGGACAGGGUCUCUCUCCGUCUCCCAGGCUAGAGUGCAGUGGCGCAAUUACGGCUGGACUCCUGGCCUCAAGCGAUCCUCCCACCUCAGCCUCCGGAGUAGCUGGGACCACAGGCGCCCACCACGUUGCCCAGCUAGUUUUUGUAUUUUUUUGUAGAGGUGGUGUUUUGCCAUGUUUCCCAGGCUGGUCUUGAACUCCUGAGCUGAAGCGAUCCACCCGUCUAAGCCUUCCAAAGUGCUGGGAUUACAGGUGUCAGCCACCAUGCCCGGCCCUAAAUAUUUUUUUAAAAGUUGGAUUUUUCAUGGUGCCCAAGGGAAGAGACACUCCUUUCCCUUUACUAAGACCAUUUCUUUUAGAAAACUUUGUAAUAGGAAAAUCUUUCUUUGCCCUCUUGAAACGUACGUAAAUUUUUUAAAAAGCUGCAUAAGCCUCUUGCCAGUUUUAUAAACCAGGAAUGUCUUUCUUAAGGACCUUGGAGUGAUUUCUUUGAAAUAUAAAGGCCAAGGAAGAUAGCUUCCCUCCUUGUCUCUGUGGGAGUUUAGCAGAUGGCUGGCUCCAAGUUGUAAUUACCUGCUUGUCAUAGAGACAUGAGGUUUAUUUUAACUUUGGAUAAAGGCAGUUAGCUAACACAGAUGGCCGCCCCAAGUACCACGUACCUGCCUUCUCCUUUAGAAACACUGUGGGCAUUAGGGGCAACUCGUGCAGAAGACCUAGGAAUCUUCCAGGUAUACUCCAUGGGAUGACUGUUCCACUCUGGCCCAUUGGCACAAGCCGGCCUUUUGUUUUAAGGAUAGUGGGGUCCGUUCUGAGAGCGGCCUUUGCAACAUCUCUCACUUCCCCUGUUGAUUGCUAUUUCUUUUCUUCCUGCUUUCCUACUCCCUUGAUCCCAAACUCACUAGGGGUAUUUAGUGAGCACUUACUGUUGCAGUAAGACUUUAGCCAAGGAAGACAAAGAGACAGUUGGAGACCAAAGAGAACUUUAAUUUGGGCACCUGAGCCUACAGCAGGCUCGUGCCCAAAAUGGCUACCGACCCAGACAAAGAAAGCAGGCUUGCUUAUAUGUCGUUUGAAGCGUGAAAAACAAGGCAGGAUACAAGUUUCAGACAAAGACAGUAAAUUAUUCAACCUGUGACAAUUCUGAGAAAACUUACAUUUAGUUAUCUUGACCAGUCAACCUUGAAGCUGGACCGAGCUGGGGUAAGGGAAAACAGGAAUUACAGAAGUAUGCGGGAGUCGCGAGGCCAGAGAUAAGCUUGAAAGGUUGAGAUAAGCUCGCAGCUGCAACUUCUUAGCAAUGCUAAAAAAAAGUAACUAUUACCUAUGUUAUGUUUGUUACUUUAAACUUCAAUGUUACUUAUUUUAUUUCAUUUUCCUUCCACAUUACCUCUGCUGUUAGCAGCUUUGAGAAAUGCUGCUAUAAGAUGUGGGAAGUCAUUAAAGGAUUUAAGCAGGGAGAGGCAAGAUCAGAUUAGUGUUUCAUAAAAAUAUUUACUGUUUUCCAGCUGAAAGUAGUACAGUACAAUUUACUUUCUGGUCACAGCACACAAUGGUCACAUCCUGGAGGAACUGUACUUCUCUAAGAUCUAGUCUGUCCUGUGGUUUAAAUGACCUUUAGCAAAUUGUCUUUAUUACUUUGUACAAUGCUUUCACCAGUCUGCUCUUCCAUGGCGAAGGGGGCAGAACUGUAAUUUAGGGUUUUCCACAUCCAGUAUGUUCAUAAGAUUUCUACCCUGUGUGAACUUCCAGAUGUUGAAUAAAGGCUGGAUGCUGACCAAAGACCUUUCCACAUUUUUUACAUGUGUGUAGGGUUGCUCACCAGUAGUAUUCUCCUGAUGCUUCAUAAUGGUUGAUCCCAGAGAGAAUGCCCUUUCACACUCAUUACAUUCAUAGGGUUUCUCUCCAAUGUGAGUUGUGUGAUGGGAAAUUAGGUUAGAACUUUGAACAAAGGCCUUUCCACAUUUGUUACACUGAUAGGGCUUAUUUCCAGUGUGGAUUCUUUGGUGUUACACAAGAUUAGAGCUGUAGUUGAAGGUCUUCCCACACUCUGCCUUCAUAGAACUUGUCUUUGUAGUGAAAUCUCUGGUGUUUUCUAAAUUGUGUUAGUCCUUCUUAAGGCUUACCAUGUUCACUACACUACACAAUUCCUCUCCACAGUAACUAUUUGAGUGCUCAUUAAAGGCUGUACUCUGA